rnacentral:rRNA from 1 species
AUAUGAUGUAAAUUAAAAGCUUGAAUAAAAGUAGUUAUUUUCUUCAUAACUCAAAGAUUUUGGCGGUUAAAUUUAAUUUUUCAGAGGAACCUGUGUUAUAAUUGAUAAACCACGAUAGUUUAAACCUUAAUUUUAUUUGUAUAUCUCUAUGAUUAUUAGAAUGUUUUUUUAGAAUAUUUUCUUUUUGUAUAAUUUGCUUUAACUUUAGGUCAAGGUGCAGUUUUGUUAAGGUAAAUAUGGGUUACUUUAAUUUUAAAUCUUUUUUUGUUUUUUUAUUUCUUGACAAUAGGAUUUGAAAGUAAUUUUAAUUAAUUAGUUUUUAUGAAUUUUUUUAAUUAAUGU